rnacentral:rRNA from 1 species
AGGUGCUGCACGGCUGUCGUCAGCUCGUGUCGUGAGAUGUUGGGUUAAGUCCCGCAACGAGCGCAACCCUCGUGUUUAGUUACUAACAGUUCGGCUGAGGACUCUAGACAGACUGCCUGGGUAACCAGGAGGAAGGUGAGGACGACGUCAAGUCAUCAUGGCCCUUACGGCCAGGGCUACACACGUGCUACAAUGGGGUAUACAAAGAGCCGCAAUACCGCGAGGUGGAGCAAAUCUCAUAAAAUAUCUCCCAGUUCGGAUAGCAGUCUGCAACUCGACUGCUUGAAGUUGGAAUCGCUAGUAAUCGUGAAUCAGCAACGUCACGGUGAAUACGUUCCCGGGUCUUGUACUCACCGCCCGUCACACCAUGGGAAUUGAAUUCAUUCGAAGCGGGGAUGCUAAAGUAGCUACCUUCCACAGUGGAUUUAGUAACUAGGGUGAAGUCGUAACAAGGUA